rnacentral:rRNA from 1 species
CCUGAGCUUGAUCCUGGCUCAGGACGAACGCUGGCGGUAUGCCUAAUACAUGCAAGUCGAACGCUGAAGCACUCUGCUUGCAGAGUGUGGAUGAGUGGCGAACGGGUGAGUAACACGUGGGGAACCUGCCCAUAAGAGGGGGAUAACAUCCGGAAACGGGUGCUAAUACCGCAUAGGUGAUCAUAGCGCAUGCUUAGAUCAUUAAAGAUGGCUUCGGCUAUCGCUUAUGGAUGGCCCCGCGGCGUAUUAGCUAGUUGGUGAGGUAAUGGCUCACCAAGGCUGUGAUACGUAGCCGACCUGAGAGGGUGAUCGGCCACACUGGAACUGAGACACGGUCCAGACUCCUACGGGAGGCAGCAGUAGGGAAUCUUCCACAAUGGGCGAAAGCCUGAUGGAGCAAUACCGCGUGAGUGAAGAAGGUCUUCGGAUCGUAAAGCUCUGUUGUUAGAGAAGAACAAGAGGUGUAGUAACUGGCACCUCCUUGACGGUAUCUAACCAGAAGCCG